UGGAGGUCUCUUUGGUCAGAGGGGUGCUGUGAUCAGCAGAGGUUGUUUAACUGAAGCAGACAUGGGACUGAGCUGCUGUAUAAUGUCUGGCCCUUGCCCUCAGUGCAGGGAAAGCUGUGGGGACAACUGUCUUUGUGCCUGUCACAUGGACGAGCCGUGUGCGGACCGCUGCUGUAACCUGUGCUGUCAGUUCUGUCUGGACUGCUUCUGUCUCAUCUGCUCGGACGACUGCCGCUACACUCUGUGUUUCAUGUGCACCAGGAUGGCCGACUCCUGCACUGCUGUUCUGACCACCGAGCAGCCCAGAUCUACACAGAAACUAAAAGAAGGUUCUCAUCUGGAAGGAGGUCAACUGGUUUAGAUCACCUGACAUACGUAAUGGAACCUGAUGGGUUGGAUGAAGACUUGUUUCCUACUUCAUGAUGCCAUUUUUUGUACAGCAAGAGACUGAAAACUAUGAAGGAAAUGUUUUUUUUUUUACAGUGCAUUUGUAGCCCAUGAUGCAAUGUGUAUAUACAGGAUUGCACAAUUUGUAUUGCACACUGAAUACUGUAUAUUGUAGCAGCAAAUACAACUGAUUCUGUGAAUUAUCAAAGUGUCUAGAGAAUCUAUUCAAAAGUGAAAACACUUUGCACUCAUGCCAAAAAAAAACUAACAAAAAAAAUCUCAAGUAUGACUGACUUUCAGAUGACAGGCAGGAAAACUAGCAGCACUCCUAGAAGACCUCUCAGCCAAUCAGAUUUGAGGACCAGAACUAACAAAAGAUUUCAAUUUUAAAUCAAUGUGGUUCUUUAAACUUUCUGUUAAUCAAAGAAUCCUGAAAAAAAGUAAGAAAUUUAGAAGUGAAAACACUUGUGCACUCAUGCAAAAAACAAAAAAACAAACAUUUUGCUUGACAUGGUAUGCUCUAGAACAACUGACUCUCAGAGGACAGGCAGGAAAAACUUGAUUUGCACACCCUGUGGAACGCGCCGUCACAGAGGUACAGUAUUUAUAAGAAUCCACCCAGGUGUACGUCAGAUUAGCCCUGUCAACAUCACGGGAAAGACAACUUAGGUAAUUUUGAGUUAACUUGUUGAAAUUGACUUUUUAGGGUGACUUUUAAAAGGUGGAAAGAGGACAGCAGAUACAAACGAGAACUGGGACUGAAGAAGAAGAAAAGGAAGAUUAAAGAAAAAAAAAGAAGAUUCUAAACAUCUGAAGGGACUUGAAAAAGGGCCGAUCAAGGAGACUAGCCAUGGAGGAGGAUUACAAGAACCCACCACCGUCCUAUGAAGAAGUUAUUACCCAGCAGCACACGAGCAACACUAAUCAAAGCCGCUCCGCUGAUAAGACGCAGGGCUGCUGCUGCAGGUGCUGUAUAAGCACCAAGAACUGUCUGAUGAGUCCGGAGUGCGGCCGAGCUCUCAACAUCGCCAGUGUUGUUGCCAUGUGUGGCAUGUGUAUUCGAAUGUUUGUUUAACACAGUCUCUUGUGGACCAUCUAUUCCAGAUCUCUCAUCCAGCGGUGGCCUUCUCAAAUUAAAAGACAAACAAAGGCGUUUGCUCUGUUCCAAAACCUAGUGAUCUGCAACAUUUAUAAGCUCUCCCCCAAUGCGAAUCCCAGCGCUAUUCCAAAAAUAGUCGGCAGUGCAGCAUUUAUCAUUCACAGAUAAGGUAAUCCCAGAACACGUUGUGACUAAAAUUUCCAUUUAAAAUAGUAAACAGCAAUUUCAAAGUAUAAUCUAUAAAUACAAAGAAUAAUUUAAUCAGCUCUGACAAAUCUGAUUGUGAAUUGUGCCAUGUCAUAAGCCAUUUUUCAAGUCUUUAGCUUAGCAACAUGCUAACAUGAAACUCAACAGGAAUCAGCUGUGUUGACUGAGCCUCUCAUGUGCUUCAUUGGCCUCAUUCAUGAAACAGAAGCACAAUGAAUUUGUAAAUCAUUUGUAAAGUCAUUUUUAUGUAAAUUGUGGGAUUUAAUUGAAUUUGAAUGAGUGACCUCAUGCUGUCUAUGUAGAAUGUUUUAAUCACUUAAGGUGUGGUCACAUUUAUUGCGUACGUGUUUUCAAUAAGAAUGUGAUGGAUUGGGAAUUUGGCUUAAGGGCAGAGAUUUCUCCAGACUUCAAAACUGGUUCAAGUUUGUAACAAACUUGCUGCACUGACCAACAGAAAGCUGCUUUCUGUGUGAACUGUGCUUUAUACAUCACUAUACUAUUGACAAUAGUAUACUAUUGACAAGUGCAUUAGUCCACCUUUUCAGCGGCACUGGUUCCGGAAGUUUCUUUGGUAACCCUUUAUUUUAGGGUGACAUAGUUACACGUUACUACUUGUACUCACAAUAAUAACAGUAAAUUAUGCAUAAUUACAAGUACCUAACCCUAAACUGAGCCCUAACCCUAACUGUCCUAACUCUAUAGUAAGUACAUAUAGUUAAUUAAUAUUACUCAGUACUUAUUUGAGGAAGUACAAUGUAACUACAUCACCUUAAAAUAAAAUGUAACCAUUUUUCCCCCCAUUCAUAUCUCCCAUAGGGAUUUCAAAAAAAGCCUUUGUUAAAGAGUUAUACGCCAUGAACCAAACCAAUCAGCUACGACGUGAAUCACAACAUUACAAACUUUGAUUUGAAGCAAAAAAGUAUUUGAAAAUCAAACAAAAAUACAAAGGUAUAAGACUGUGUACUUAACGGCUUUAGUGAGGGAAAGAACUACAAUCCCAUGAAGUAGAGCUGCACGAUUCUGGAUAAAAUGAGAAUCACGAUUUUUUGGUUUCAAAUAGAGAUCACAAUUCUCCUGCGAUUCUGAAUAUACAACCAAACAAAAUAACAUGUAAUUUACUAGAGGUUUCAUUGCUGGAUGAAUCAGUGUUUUUGAACGAAUCUUUUGAAUGAACGAUUCAAUUACAAAUACAUUUUUUAACAGUCAGUUGUCGCCACCUAGUGGAAUUAGAUGUAAUUGAUACAACCGUUAUUUGACGUGCCAAGUUCGUUUCAAAAGUUUGCUCUAUUUUGAUCGCUAUCGUAGACAUCGGUGUUUGAAUACUAACUUAAAACUUAUAUCACAGUACUUCUGUGAUUAUGUGAAUAACACAGAAAUAACUAAUGUGUGAUUCAAAACGUCUCUCUCUGGCUCUGGCAGCACGAACAAAGAUUUGAACGUUCCGGUAUGAUUUUGUCAAAGGUUUAAUAGAUGCGGGAGAAUCGUUGUCAUUAAUAAAGUAGGAUCGCAUGGGUGCUUGAAUCGAGAUCGCGAUCUUUUUACGAUGAAUCGUGCAGCUCUACCAUGAAGCAUUGCGAACAGCAUAAUCAAAUAUCGAAUUGAAUAUAAAACUACUCAUUUAGAUUAUAUAUAAACAAUAUACUUUAAGUUUAUUUCCAAAUAUGCAUAUAUUUUCAAAUAUUUCAGUAUUUUGAGAGUGUAGGGAAUGCUUUUUAGGAGUGGGCGGAGCCAACGAGUUCUUUUGGCGCAUUUGGCCUGAUUCGGCUCUCUGAUUGGUGUAAUUUUCCGUACAAGAUCAUGGGUAAUGUAGUUUUUCUUCAGGAAUUCGAUUGUUAAAGGGUAAAUUCAACCAAAAACUGAAAUUUCUGUCAUUAAUUACUCACACUAAUAUCGUUCCACAUCCGUAAGACCUUCGGAAUCACAUUUUUGAUGAAAUCAGAGAGGUUUUAGACACUUCCGGAACCCGACCGAUGCACAUGGACAAUGGACCUUUUUUUGUUUGCAAAAUUUUGGUAUUGUGACCGCACCUUUACAGUAUGAGUUUCCAUUUUGAUUUUGAUCACUGACGGCGAAUGAAUUUAAUUUUUUUGUUAAUACUUCAAGAAGACAAUAGUGUUUAAUAAUUACACUACAGUUUAAUCUCUCUAAUCCAGAACCUAAAAUAGUCAUUUGAAAAUGUUCAUUGGAUUUCUUUUCUUUUGGAUGUGGUAUCCACCUUAAAUUAGUAUCAGGAUACCAAAACUUUGCAUUUAUCAUUACUUCUAAAAGGAAGGUGCAUUUCUUCUCAAAGAAAUCUUAAUGAAAUGUGAAUGUACUAUUUAUAAUACUGAAUUAUGUUUUAAAGGACAUGCACUAGACAGACAGGCUAAUAAGUACACAAUCAGAAAAAAAAAGUAUGCUAGAUUAUUUUCCAAACUAUGGUGGAAAUGUUCCUUUAAGACUGUAAAUUUCCACUAAAUAUUAAACCUGUACAUCGGGAGUGUGUAAAUAAGGAUCUUCUCCACUGUGGAUAUAAAACCAUCUGUCUUAUAGCCGGUAUGUCAAUAAAUACCCUUAAGUUUAGUUUAUAUACAGAUGGAAUGUUUUACCUUCAGGAGAAGUAAAUAUUUAUCUAUCUACAAUAUGUAAAAUAAUAAAGAUAUAUGCAUCUGACAUAAGCAAA